ACCGGCAGAUAAAGUGGUGGCCAUUUUAAUUGGGCCUAAAGAGUUCGUAGCCGGUUUGAUAAGUCUCUGGUGAAAUCCCGCAGCUUAACUGUGGGACUUGCUGGAGAUACUAUUAGACUUGAGGUCGGGAGAGGUUAGGGGUACUCCCAGGGUAGGGGUAGAAUCCUAUAAUCCUGUGAGGACCACCUGUGGCGAAGGCGCCUAACUGGAACGAACCUGACGGUGAGUAGCGAAAGCCAGGUGCGCGAACCG
rnacentral:rRNA from 1 species